CCUUCUGGCGUAAAGUGGGUGAGCGCGUGGCCGUAAUCCGGGGGAGCGGAGCAGCGCAACUCGAGGGAAAGGGGGGCGGAGAUCGACCAUCUGCCGUAAAGUGAGGGUCAGCGGCGGCAGGGGUACUUGACCUCCUGCUGUGAAAGUGUCGUGAAGCCCGACCGUUAAACUGCCAUGGCGGCCUUUCCCGCCGCUGCCACCGUCCUCCUCCUCCUCCUGGAGGCCUCAGUGCCGCCGGUACGCGGGCGGCGGGAGGCCCAGGCUUUCGAGGCGGCCUCGGCGCUGUCGGCGGUGGAGUUCGGCAAGGCUAACGGUAGCAGUGAGCGGCAGCAGCGAGGGGGAUCCGGGGACACGGAGCUGCCGGUGCUGCUGUGGUGGAGCGAGGAUCUGUUCCCGCAUUUCCCCGGCGGAGGGAGGACGUCGGAGCGGAUCGAGUGCGGCCCGAGCCCGGGCCAGGCCCCAGGCCGGGCGGCCCGCGCCUCCUGCCUGGUCACCCGCAGCAAGCGGGCCCUGGGCCACCGGCGGACGGCCGCCGUCCUCUUCUACGGCACGGAUUUCCGAGCGGACCGGGCCCCGCUGCCCCGCCGCCGCCGACACACCUGGGCCCUGUUCCACGAGGAGUCGCCGAUGAACAACUACCUGCUGUCGCAGGCCGCCGCCAUCCGCCUGUUCAACUACACCGCCACCUUCCGCCGCCACUCGGACUACCCCCUGGCCCUGCAGUGGCUGCCCGCCGCCCGCUACCUCCGGCAGGCGCCCGGCACCUCCCUCCGCCGCAAGAACCAGCUCCGCCGCCUCGGCACCGCCCCCGUGCUCUACCUGCAGUCCCACUGCCCCGUGGCGUCUGACCGCGACCGCUAUGUCCGGCAACUGAUGGAGCACCUACAGAUUGAUUCUUACGGCCAGUGCCUGCAAAACAAGAAUCUGCCUAAUGAUCGAUUGGUCGACACACUAACAGCCACAACUGAAGAUGCAGAGUUCAUGAAUUUCAUAAGCCAGUACAAAUUUCACCUCGCCAUGGAGAACGCGAUAUGUGACGAUUAUAUGACUGAGAAACUAUGGCGCCCAAUGCACUUGGGAGCUGUGCCGAUCUAUCGCGGUUCCCCAGUGGUCCAAGAUUGGAUGCCCAAUUCACAUUCUGUAAUUCUAAUCGACGACUUUGAAUCGCCAAAGGAUUUAGCAGACUAUAUCAACUUCCUUGACCAAAAUGACAAUGAGUAUUUGAAAUAUCUAGAGUACAAACAGCCAGGUGGCAUCACCAACACUUUGCUGCUGGAGAGUUUGGAAAAGAGGGAAUGGGGCGUGAAUGAUAUUAACAAGCCUAACUAUUUGAAUGGAUUUGAAUGCUUUGUUUGUGAGAAGGAAAAUGAAAGAUUGCAGGCAGAGGAAGCUCACAGACAGCAGCCAGAUAAAUUUAAAAUGCCAGCCCCUAGAAUAGCUGCUUACAAUCAUAUGGGCUGUCCAUUUCCAGUCCCUGGGCAUGGAAGCAUUGAUGAGAUUCCUGAAAAUGACAGUUGGAAAGAAAUGUGGCAUCAAGAUUACUGGCAGAGUCUCGACCAAGCUGAAGCCCUAAGCAAUAUGAUUCACCAAAAUGAGACUGACCCAAGUAAACUAUGGGAAUACGUUCAUCAACUAAUAAUGAAGAGGAACAGACACUGACAGUUGGACUGCUGCUUGAGAAUCGGGCCAUUGGAUAAACACUACCACUUGUAUCGCAUUUUGAGAAUGCAAUUCUCAUUAAAUUUAUGGACACUUUUUUUAUAUAUAGAUAUAUUUUUUAUUGUAAACAAGUUCUUAUAGCUUUUGUAGGAAUCAAUGGUCUUGCUGUUUCCAUUGUGCUAAAUAUGGUGCUAAAUGGCAAGUGCAAAACUGGUUUCAAUUCGCAGGACAUGGUUUGCGUUUGAAGUUUUAAAAUGUGAAGGUAAGUUUCAAGCAUAUUUAUCGCCUCCAAUCAGGCAAAGGUUGCAACUUAAAUACCCUCUUCUACAAUAUAUAGAGAUAAAUAUUUUUAAAUGAUAAUGAAUAUUACAACAUUUAACAUUUGUACAAGUUAAAUUUAAAAUUCUUUAUUCCUUUCAGAAGAAUAAAAGAGUUUUAAACAAGAAAUUUACAUGGUUCCUGCAGCAUACAAAUGCAUCAUUUGGUCCAACAGAUUUGUUCCACAUAAGCCUCUAUCAAUAUAAGCUUUUUUUUGUCCUCAAUCGUGUGAAUAUGUACCUUCCCCUUGAAAACCUUAAUGCUAUUUGCUUCAUUGUUGAGUUCCACAUUCUUGCCAAUUUCUAAGUGAAGGAGUUUCUCCAGAAUUCCCAUUUGAAGUGAUUGUUAUAUUUAUGGUUCCUCUAUUGAGCCUCCAAAAGUGGAAUGUUCUCUACAUUGAAGAAGUUGGUAGCCAGAUGGUAGUACUGCCAUUGGACUAGUAAUCCAGAGGCCCAGAUUAAUGUUGUGAUGCCAUGUUAACUCCUAACAUGGCAUGAAUUCAAGUACAAUUAUUAAACCUGGGUUUAUAAAGAGUUUCAAUGGCUGUUAUUAGCUAGACUAUCAUCAAUUAUUGUAAAACUUCAUCUGAUUCACUAAUGCAUUUUAGGGAGGGAGAUCCUAGUUUGAACUACAUUGAUUCCAGACCAGCAGCGAUGAGGCUCACUGCUAAUCUCCCUCUGAAAUGACCUUACAGGGUAUUUGAGGAUGAGUAACAGGUGCUGGCUUUGUAGCUGCACUUACAUCCAUGAAAGAACAAAAAGCAUCUCAAUCUUAACCUGCUCUGUUAAGUACUUCUCAUCCUCCUGUCCUAAAGAAGACUCCCUCAAAUGAAUGGUAUUCCCCAAUAUCUGUAUCUUGGCUUUACCAUCUUUGUGAAUCUUUUGUUUUAGCUCUUAUCCUUUUCUUAAAUCUUUUUUGCAACAUGAAUAUCAGAAUCCUUCACCAUAUUGGAGCAGCACGGUGGCACAGUGGUUAGCACUGCUGCCUCACAGCGCCAGAGACCCGGGUUCAAUUCCCGCCUCUGG